AUUUUUGAGGAGAAAAUGCAUGAUUUACCCUUAAAUGGGGGGUUUUUGAGGAGAAAAUGCGUGAUUUUCCAAAUAAUUGGGGAUUUUUGAAGGGAAAAUGGGUGAUUUUCGGAUUAAAUGGGGGAUUUUGAAGAGAAAAUGGGUGAUUUUUGCUUAAAUGGGGCAUUUUCGGCGGGAAAAUGGGUGAUUUUCGAGUUAAAUCUGGGAUUUUUGAAGGGAAAAUGGGUGAUUUUCCCUUAAAUGGGGGGUUUUUGAGGAGAAAAUGUGUGAUUUUCCAAAUAAUUGGGGAUUUUUGAAGGGAAAAUGGGUGAUUUUUGGGUUAAAUGGGGCAUUUUCGAAGAGAAAACGGGUGAUUUUCGCUUAAAUGCGUGAUUUUUUAGCUAAAUGUUGGAUUUUAGAAGAGAUAAUGCAUGAUUUACCCUUAAAUGGGGGAUUUUCGAGGAGAAAAUGUGUGAUUUGGGGGUAAAAUGGGAAUUUUCGAAGAGAAAAUGCGUGAUUUUUGCUUAAAUGCAUGAUGUUUUUUGUUAAAUGGGGGAUUUUUGAGGAGAAAAUGCAUGAUUUUCCCUUAAAUGGGGGGUUUUUGAGGAGAAAAUGCGUGAUUUUCCAAAUAAUUGAGGAUUUUUGAAGGGAAAAUGGGUGAUUUUCGGAUUAAAUGGGAGAAUUCUGAAGAGAAACUGGGAGAUUUUCGGGUUAAAUGGGAGAUUUUUGAAGAGAAAACAGGUGAUUUCUGCUAAAAUGCGGUGGAUUUUUUAGCUAAAUGGUUGGAUUUUCGAAGAGAAUAAAAUGCAUGAUUUACUUCUUAAAUGGGGGAUUUUGAGGAGAAAUGCUGAUUUUGGGGUAAAAUGGGGAUUUUCGAAGAGAAAAUGCGUGAUUUUUC
rnacentral:lncRNA from 7 species